CAGCCGCCACGGGAAUACGGAGGGGGCUAGCGUUGUUCGGAAUUACUGGGCGUAAAGCGCACGUAGGCGGCUUGGUAAGUUAGAGGUGAAAGCCUGGAGCUCAACUCCAGAAUUGCCUUUAAGACUGCCGAGCUAGCAGGUGAGAGAGGUAAGUGGAAUUCCGAGUGUAGAGGUGAAAUUCGUAGAUAUUCGGAGGAACACCAGUGGCGAAGGCGGCUCACUGGUCCAUUACUGACGCUGAGGUGCGAAAGCGUGGGGAGCAAACAGGAUUAGAGACCCCCGUAGUCCCUGUCUCUUAUAC
rnacentral:rRNA from 1 species